GGCACCGAGCGCCCCAGGCCCACAGCACGGGGCGAGGCCCGGGGCCGUCUGGCACAGCCCGCAUCUCCCCCGGCCCCACCGCGUCCCCGACCCCCGCAGCUCCAGGCUGGGUGACCUCGGGCCUCCUCGAGAGCCACCCGGCGAGGCCCGUGGUGCGGGGCAGCUCCCGCGCUGGCCCCGAGGCCUACCCCGUGCUGGCACGGCGCUCCGCAGGUGGAAGGCCGGAGCCGAGCCCGAGGGCUGCGCAGCUGCCCAGGCGGAGCAUCCCUGCUCGGUACGCCGGCGUUGUUUUGGGGGUGAGAACGGUGAGCUCUGCUGGUAUCGGUGCUCCCGGCUGCAGCUCCUCCCCAUCACCCGCAGCAUUGGAGCCCCGCAGCAUUGGAGCCCCGCAGCAUCAGCUCACACAGCUGCAGAGAGCACCGAGGCCUGCAGGAAUGGGAGCCGAAAGGCGCCGUAUCCUCACCUGUACCCCGCACCUCUCUGGGACGUCCCAUCAGACCGACACCUCAGCAGCCAUUGUACCAACGGGAGGGCUGUGAACUGUUCAAGUAAACGAACACGGAGCCAGCAUUAAAGCCCUGCUGCCCCGGGGCGGUUCCACGGCCCGUCCCCAUCGCUCGGGUGGCAGCUGGGCAGCACCGCCCCUGCUCUGCUAUUUCUGCCACGCUGCAGCUGCCCGGAGCAGCAGCCAAAACCAGACGCCCGCGUCCUGCCCCAGAAACGCAUGGGACAAACAGGAUGCCAGAGACAAGAGUUCAUCUCAAAUGGAGAAAAUGAGCACAGGCUCCGACGCCCAACUGCAGCGUUGGCUCUGCUGAGUGGCAGUAGCUGGGCUCCAGGCAGGGGCGAACACGCAGCCCUGCUGUGGCUGUGAGCAGUGAGUGCCCGUGGCUGGGUGAUGUUAUCCAGCAGUGGGGCCCUUUUUCACAGCUCGGUGUUGACACCAGCAAGAAGUUCCCUCGAGCAGAGCUGGGAGUUGAGAGACAAGCAGCACAGCCCCCCCCCCCCAAACCAGGACUGCCCCAGUUACAGAGCAUCCCUACCUGGGAGCAGUGCACAAAACACGGGAUGGAGGCCGGUCAGGGUGGCAGCGCUGGAUCCAAGCAGCUCGGUGGCACGGGCUCGCUCUGCCCCAGCCUCACUAAUCUGCAAAACAACCAGCAAACACCUACGAAAGCUGGGGUGCGGCCCCAGCCCACGUCGUGCUGCAACCCACAAUCCGAUGAGGUAAUGGUGGCAGGCAAGGAGGGCACAGCCCCACAGCGAGGGCGCACCAAACCCCACAGCUGCCAAAGGAUCCCGAUGGGGCUGGAGAGCACGAGGACAGUGCUGUGGGGAAUAGGGGUGCACAGGAGAGGCCUGGAACCCCUUCUUGUGCCUUCCCAUGGGAUGGGGGUGGGCAGCGAGGGCCAAAGGUGCCGUCAACAGCAGCCUGAACUGCCUGCCCCCAGCUGGGUUAUUUUUAGCCCCUCCUCAGCAAUGGGGGUUUGUUCUGUGCUGGGCAUUAAGGCACAUCGAUGCACCAGUGGCAUUUGUCCUGCACGAGGCUGCACCUGGAGGUGAAGGGAUACAGGGCACCCUCCUGGCCACUGCCCCCCAGCAGCCCCUCACCCGCUCCAACCCUCGGCCUUAAUAAUGUCAAGGGAGCCCUUAAGCAGUAAUGAGAAUGGAUUCAUCGCUGCUGUACCACUUUGCCCAAAAGCCACCAGGCUGCACCUGGGCCUCCCCCAAACCCCUCUGCUCUGUCCCAAUUAAAGCUACUAUGCCAAUUAAAGCUUCUGUGCCAAUUAAA